UACGUAGGGUGCGAGCGUUGUCCGGAAUUAUUGGGCGUAAAGAGCUUGUAGGCGGUUUGUCGCGUCUGCUGUGAAAAAUCCCGGGGGCUCAAACCCCCGGACGUUGUCAGUGGGUACGGGGCGAGACGUAGAGUGUGGUAGGGGAGACUGGAAUUCCUGGUGUAGCGGUGAAAUGCGCAGAUAUCAGGAGGAACACCGAUGGCGAAGGCAGGUCUCUGGGCCGACUACUGACGCUGAGAAGCGAAAGCAUGGGGAGCGAACAGGAUUAGAUACCCCUGUAGU
rnacentral:rRNA from 1 species